CGGAGCGGCCCAGGCGAUCGCUGCUGGACACGGUCCAGCGGAGGAAAGUCCGAGCUCCACAGGGCAGGAUGCCAGGUAACGCCUGGUGGGGGCGACCCCGAGGAAAGUGCCACAGAAAGCAGUCCACCCCGCCGCCUCCUCUUGGGGGUCGCGGGGCCAGGGUGAAAGGGUGAGGUAAGAGCUCACCGGGCCGGCGGUGACGUCGGUCGCAGGGCAAACCCCAUCCGGAGCAAGACGAAAUAGGGAAGCGUUCGAGGGUGGCCCGCCCGAGCUUCCGGGUAGCGUCGCUCGAGGCGCGCGGCGACGCGCGUCCCAGAGGAAUGAUCGCCCGCCGGAGCCGGUGACGGCCCCGGCGACAGAACUCGGCUUACGGACCCUUCGACCU
rnacentral:RNase_P_RNA from 1 species